rnacentral:rRNA from 1 species
ACGGAAGGCAGCAGUAGGGAAUCUUCGGCAAUGGGGGCAACCCUGACCGAGCAACGCCGCGUGAGUGAAGAAGGUUUUCGGAUCGUAAAGCUCUGUUGUAAGAGAAGAACGUGUGUGAGUGUGGAGAGUUCACACAGUGACGGUAACUUACCAGAAAGGGACGGCUAACUACGUGCCAGCAGCCGCGGUAAUACGUAGGUCCCGAGCGUUGUCCGGAUUUAUUGGGCGUAAAGCGAGCGCAGGCGGUUUAAUAAGUCUGAAGUUAAAGGCAGUGGCUUAACCAUUGUUCGCUUUGGAAACUGUUAGACUUGAGUGCAGAAGGGGAGAGGGAAUUCCAUGUGUAGCGGUGAAAUGCGUAGAUAUAUGGAGGAACACCGGUGGCGAAAGCGACUCUCUGGUCUGUAACUGACGCUGAGGCUCGAAAGCGUGGGGAGCAAACAGGAUUAGAUACCCUGGUA